rnacentral:tRNA from 1 species
GGUGGCUCAGUGGUAGAGCGCUUGCCUCACUUGCAUGAGGCCCUGGGUUCGAUUCCUCAGUACCA